rnacentral:rRNA from 1 species
AAAAAUUUGGGCAAGUCUGGUGCCAGCAGCCCGCGGUAAUUCCAGCUCCAAUAGCGUAUAUUAAAGUUGUUGCAGUUAAAAAGCUCGUAGUUGGAUCUCGGGUCCAGGCUCGCGGUCCGCCUCGCGGCGGUUACUGCCCGUCCUGACCUACCUCCCGGUGUUCCCUUGGUGCUCUUGACUGAGUGUCUCGGGUGGCCGGAACGUUUACUUUGAAAAAAUUAGAGUGUUCAAAGCAGGCAGCUCGCCUGAAUAAUGGUGCAUGGAAUAAUGGAAUAGGACCUCGGUUCUAUUUUGUUGGCCUUCGGAACUUGAGGUAAUGAUUAAGAGGGACGGACGGGGGCAUCCGUAUUACGGUGUUAAAGGUGAAAUUCUUGGAUCGCCGUAAGACGAACAACUGCGAAAGCAUUUGCCAAGAAUGUUUUCAUUAAUCAAAAACGAA